UAGGGAAUCUUCCACAAUGGACGCAAGUCUGAUGGAGCAACGCCGCGUGAGUGAAGAAGGUUUUCGGAUCGUAAAGCUCUGUUGUUGGUGAAGAAGGAUAGAGGCAGUAACUGGUCUUUAUUUGACGGUAAUCAACCAGAAAGUCACGGCUAACUACGUGCCAGCAGCCGCGGUAAUACGUAGGUGGCAAGCGUUGUCCGGAUUUAUUGGGCGUAAAGCGAGCGCGGGCGGAAUGAUAAGUCUGAUGUGAAAGCCCACGGCUCAACCGUGGAACUGCAUCGGAAACUGUCAUUCUUGAGUGCAGAAGAGGAGAGUGGAAUUCCAUGUGUAGCGGUGGAAUGCGUAGAUAUAUGGGAGAACACCAGUGGCGAAGGCGGCUCUCUGGACUGCAACUGACGCUGAGGCUCGAAAGCAUGGGUAGCGAACAGG
rnacentral:rRNA from 1 species